rnacentral:piRNA from 1 species
UGCAGGUGGAAACAGCUGUGUCAAGGCUC